rnacentral:lncRNA from 1 species
AUUGACAAAGCCUCAAGAUCUGCCUCAGACUUUGGAAACAGGAAAAUGCAAUAAAAUUGAACUUAUUCUUAAGAUGUUAUAAAAAUGUAACAGAUAUUUUGCAAUAAGCUACUGCAAAUUUGUAAAAGAAUCACAUUACAAACUUUAACCCCCCCCCCCCAUGCAAUGCAGUACGUACUCAAUUUCAGACCCAACACAACAGAGACACAGAGUUUAUACUACUUCGCACAGCUUGCAGCCCUCUCAUCAGUUUCAUCUUCUUUCUCUUGGAUUAUAGUCUCUGCAACGUUCAAAACUUCAGAUCUUAUAAGUGCUG